GAUGAACGCUGGCGGCGUGCCUAAUACAUGCAAGUCGAGCGAACGGACGAGAAGCUUGCUUCUCUGAUGUUAGCGGCGGACGGGUGAGUAACACGUGGAUAACCUACCUAUAAGACUGGGAUAACUUCGGGAAACCGGAGCUAAUACCGGAUAAUAUUUUGAACCGCAUGGUUCAAAAGUGAAAGACGGUCUUGCUGUCACUUAUAGAUGGAUCCGCGCUGCAUUAGCUAGUUGGUAAGGUAACGGCUUACCAAGGCAACGAUGCAUAGCCGACCUGAGAGGGUGAUCGGCCACACUGGACCUGAGACACGGUCCAGACUCCUACGGGAGGCAGCAGUAGGGAAUCUUCCGCAAUGGGCGAAAGCCUGACGGAGCAACGCCGCGUGAGUGAUGAAGGUCUUCGGAUCGUAAAACUCUGUUAUUAGGGAAGAACAUAUGUGUAAGUAACUGUGCACAUCUGGACGGUACCUAAUCAGAAAGCCACGGCUAACUACGU
rnacentral:rRNA from 1 species